AUUCUUUAUUCCAGAGUUGCAAUAUCUUGUUUUUGGGAGGAUCCUGACUCCACUUAGGGGCUGGUAGCCUUUAAGGUGGUAUCCAUCUUUAGAGACUGUCUUCUUGGGAGUGUGGGGUGAGGUCUGGUCCUUAAGAAAAGAUGAGUGAUUCCUUCUUAUUUUAGGGCUGUGACCUUUCCCUUUUGGUUUUUGGGGCAUCCUGACCACAUCUAAGUGCUGACAGAUGUAUGGGCAAUGUUGAUCUCUGGAGACUGUCUCCUGUGGAGCAUGAGGCUGUUAUGCACUGCUUCCAACCGUGCAGAGUUGUUUAAGGGCAUUCUGUGCACCCUUAGGUGUAAUAAGUCUUCAUCUUUAUAGGAAGCCAAGCUCUGGUUCCCAACAGCGUGAUGAAGUGAAGCCCCUGCUCUGCUGAAUACUGGGACUGGCCCAGAGAGGCUCUGACGGAUGUGGAUUAUCCCAGCUGGAGUACUUGGUACCAUUGGUGGUGAUCUCGUCCAACUGCCACACAACGAACAGGAACAUCCACAGCCAGAUCAGUGCCCAGAGCCUGACCCAGCCUCACCUUGGAAGGGACAGGGCAUCCAUCAUGUCUGGGUGUUGAAAGGCUGUUACCAGAUCACCUCGGAGCCUUCACUUCUGCAGGCUGAGCAGCUCCAGCUCUCUUUCUUCAUAGGAAAGGCGUUCCAUCCCUCGGUUCAUAUCUGUGGCCAUUCUCUGGAUGUGCUCCAACAGCUCCACGUCUGUCCUGCACUGCAGGCAUCCACAUCCACACACAGCACCUCCAGGUGAGGCCUCCCAGCACAGAGCAGAGGGGCAGGACCACCUCCCUUCGCCUGCUGACCGCACAUCUUUGGAUGGAGCCCAGCAUACGGUUGGCUUUCUGGGCUGGAAGGCGCGUUGCUGAGUGCCACUACUCAGCCUGUUGAGGUCCCUCUGGAUGGCAUCCCGUCCCUCUGGUGUGUCACCGCACCCCACAGCUCGGUGUCAUUAGGGUGCACUCCACCCUACUGUCAAUGUCACUGAUGAAGGGGCAAUCCCAGAUGUUUGUGCAAACUCAGCAAAGAACACCUUGAGAGCAGCCCCACAGAGAAGGAUCCUGGUGGGUGAGAAGCUGGACGUCAGCCAGCAGAGCGGGCUUGCAGCCUGGAAGGCCAGCUGUGUUCUGGGCUGCAUUAAAAGAGGAGCGGCCAGCAG